GAUGAACGCUGGCGGCGUGCUUAACACAUGCAAGUCGAGCGAAGCACUUAAGUUUGAUUCUUCGGAUGAAGACUUUUGUGACUGAGCGGCGGACGGGUGAGUAACGCGUGGGUAACCUGCCUCAUACAGGGGGAUAACAGUUAGAAAUGACUGCUAAUACCGCAUAAGACCACGGUACCGCAUGGUACAGUGGUAAAAACUCCGGUGGUAUAAGAUGGACCCGCGUCUGAUUAGGUAGUUGGUGGGGUAACGGCCUACCAAGCCGACGAUCAGUAGCCGACCUGAGAGGGUGACCGGCCACAUUGGGACUGAGACACGGCCCAGACUCCUACGGGAGGCAGCAGUGGGGAAUAUUGCACAAUGGAGGAAACUCUGAUGCAGCGACGCCGCGUGAAGGAUGAAGUAUUUCGGUAUGUAAACUUCUAUCAGCAGGGAAGAAAAUGACGG
rnacentral:rRNA from 1 species